GCUGAUUUAAGUGGGGCUUAGAGGGAAAAAAAGACACAAACUCACUUCAAAGCUAUCAACAGACACCAGAGAAAAAAGUUUCAUAAGCAUUUGGACUUUUCAUGAAAGUGGAAAAGUGAAGAAAGCCACAUUUACAUAUUCAUGUUGUACUAGACUGACCACAUGUCAACUCAUGGCAUUAUGAGACCAAAUUAG
rnacentral:lncRNA from 1 species